rnacentral:rRNA from 1 species
AGUGAACGCUGGCGGUAGGCCUAACACAUGCAAGUCGAACGGCAGCACAGUAAGAGCUUGCUCUUACGGGUGGCGAGUGGCGGACGGGUGAGGAAUACAUCGGAAUCUACUUUUUCGUGGGGGAUAACGUAGGGAAACUUACGCUAAUACCGCAUACGGCCUACGGGUGAAAGCAGGGGAUCUUCGGACCUUGCGCGAUUGAAUGAGCCGAUGUCGGAUUAGCUAGUUGGCGGGGUAAAGGCCCACCAAGGCGACGAUCCGUAGCUGGUCUGAGAGGAUGAUCAGCCACACUGGAACUGAGACACGGUCCAGACUCCUACGGGAGGCAGCAGUGGGGAAUAUUGGACAAUGGGCGAAAGCCUGAUCCAGCCAUACCGCGUGGGUGAAGAAGGCCUUCGGGUUGUAAAGCCCUUUUGUUGGGAAAGAAAAGCAGCAGGUUAAUACCCCGCUGUUCUGACGGUACCCAAAGAAUAAGCACCGGCUAACUUCGUG